rnacentral:rRNA from 1 species
UACGUAGGGGGCAAGCGUUGUCCGGAUUUAUUGGGCGUAAAGAGCGUGUAGGCGGCCAGGUAGGUCCGUUGUGAAAACUGGAGGCUUAACCUCCAGCUGUCGAUGGAAACCAUCUGGCUAGAGUCCGGAAGAGGAGAGUGGAAUUCCUGGUGUAGCGGUGAAAUGCGUAGAUAUCGGAAGGAACACCAGUGGCGAAAGCGGCUUCCUGGUCCGACACCGACGUUCAGGCACGAAAGCGUGGGGAGCAAACAGG